CAAUGGGGGAACCCUGAUGCAGCGACGCCGCGUGGAGGAAGAAGGUCUUCCGAUUGUAAACUCCUGGUUGUUGGGGAAGAUAAUGACGGUACCCAACAAGGAAGUGACGGCUAACUACGUGCCAGCAGCCGCGGUAAAACGUAGGUCACAAGCGUUGUCCGGAAUUACUGGGUGUAAAGGGAGCGCAGGCGGGAAGACAAGUUGGAAGUGAAAUCUAUGGGCUCAACCCAUAAACUGCUUUCAAAACUGUUUUUCUUGAGUAGUGCAGAGGUAGGCGGAAUUCCCGGUGUAGCGGUGGAAUGCGUAGAUAUCGGGAGGAACACCAGUGGCGAAGGCGGCCUACUGGGCACCAACUGACGCUGAGGCUCGAAAGUGUGGGUAGCAAACAGGAUUAGAUACCCUGGUAGUCCAAGGGCGAAUUC
rnacentral:rRNA from 1 species